GAUGAACGCUGGCGGCGUGCCUAAUACAUGCAAGUCGAGCGAACAGAUGAGGAGCUUGCUCCUCUGACGUUAGCGGCGGACGGGUGAGUAACACGUGGAUAACCUACCUAUAAGACUGGGAUAACUUCGGGAAACCGGAGCUAAUACCGGAUAAUAUAUUGAACCGCAUGGUUCAAUAGUGAAAGACGGUUUUGCUGUCACUUAUAGAUGGAUCCGCGCCGCAUUAGCUAGUUGGUAAGGUAACGGCUUACCAAGGCAACGAUGCGUAGCCGACCUGAGAGGAGGAUCGGCAACACGGCAGCUAGGACACGGACCGAAACCGGACGGGAGGCAGCGGUAGGGAACCUUCGGGAGGGGGCAAAAGCCUAAAGGGGCAAAGCGGCGGAAGUCAGAAAGGUCUACGGAUCGUAAAACAUGGUUAUUAGGGAAGAACAAAGUUGUAAUUACCGAGGCACUAAUGAACGUACCUUAAGAAGAAGGCCCGGCCAAAUUAGGG
rnacentral:rRNA from 1 species